CCAACCGUACAUAUGAGCGGAACCGCACCGACUCCCAUCUCCCUAUGCGCUUCACGACCUCAUCUCCUAGUCCCAACCGUGCGGCCUCCGUGGCUGCCCCAAUGCGAAAGGAGUGAGUACCAAAACGUCCGGCCGGAAGCCCCAACUUACCUAGUCCGGACCGAAAAACCUUUGUAAACUGAAAUCGGGACAGGGAAGAACCAUCCGCAUGUACCAAGAAGGAACCCC